GUGCCAGCCGCCGCGGUAAUACGUAGGUGGCAAGCGUUGUCCGGAUUUAUUGGGCGUAAAGCGAGCGCAGGCGGUUUCUUAAGUCUGAUGUGAAAGCCCCCGGCUCAACCGGGGAGGGUCAUUGGAAACUGGGAGACUUGAGUGCAGAAGAGGAGAGUGGAAUUCCAUGUGUAGCGGUGAAAUGCGUAGAUAUAUGGAGGAACACCAGUGGCGAAGGCGGCUCUCUGGUCUGUAACUGACGCUGAGGCUCGAAAGCGUGGGGAGCGAACAGGAUUAGAUACCCUGGUAGUCCACGCCGUAAACGAUGAGUGCUAAGUGUUGGAGGGUUUCCGCCCUUCAGUGCUGCAGCAAACGCAUUAAGCACUCCGCCUGGGGAGUACGACCGCAAGGUUGAAACUCAAAGGAAUUGACGGGGGCCCGCACAAGCGGUGGAGCAUGUGGUUUAAUUCGAAGCAACGCGAAGAACCUUACCAGGUCUUGACAUCCUUUGACCACUCUAGAGAUAGAGCUUCCCCUUCGGGGGCAAAGUGACAGGUGGUGCAUGGUUGUCGUCAGCUCGUGUCGUGAGAUGUUGGGUUAAGUCCCGCAACGAGCGCAACCCUUAUUGUUAGUUGCCAUCAUUUAGUUGGGCACUCUAGCGAGACUGCCGGUGACAAACCGGAGGAAGGUGGGGAUGACGUCAAAUCAUCAUGCCCCUUAUGACCUGGGCUACACACGUGCUACA
rnacentral:rRNA from 1 species